rnacentral:rRNA from 1 species
GUCGCCUCCUAAAAGGUAACGGAGGCGCUCAAAGGUUCCCUCAGAAUGGUUGGAAAUCAUUCAUAGAGUGUAAAGGCAUAAGGGAGCUUGACUGCGAGACCUACAAGUCGAGCAGGGUCGAAAGACGGACUUAGUGAUCCGGUGGUUCCGCAUGGAAGGGCCAUCGCUCAACGGAUAAAAGCUACCCCGGGGAUAACAGGCUUAUCUCCCCCAAGAGUUCACAUCGACGGGGAGGUUUGGCACCUCGAUGUCGGCUCAUCGCAUCCUGGGGCUGUAGUCGGUCCCAAGGGUUGGGCUGUUCGCCCAUUAAAGCGGUACGCGAGCUGGGUUCAGAACGUCGUGAGACAGUUCGGUCCCUAUCCGUCGUGGGCGUAGGAAAUUUGAGAGGAGCUGUCCUUAGUACGAGAGGACCGGGAUGGACAUACCUCUGGUGUACCAGUUGUCGUGCCAACGGCAUAGCUGGGUAGCUAUGUGUGGACGGGAUAAGUGCUGAAAGCAUCUAAGCAUGAAGCCCCCCUCAAGAUGAGAUUUCCCAACUUCGGUUAUAAGAUCCCUCAAAGAUGAUGAGGUUAAUAGGUUCGAGGUGGAAGCAUGGUGACAUGUGGAGCU